rnacentral:lncRNA from 1 species
UUUGAUCUCGGGGAUCAAAGUGAGGAUUGAGCUAGUUGGACAUCAUCCUCGAGUGAUUCGUGAUGCGUUGGAAUGAAUUUCGGAGAUAAAUAAGUGUUUCGGCGCAAAUUGGGCGCGAAACGAAAUGUAAAAAGAAUUUUCGGAUUUCCGAUGCUAACUUUGAUUAAAAGAAUUAAAGUAAGGCGUAAGGAUAAAUUGUGGAAUCUCCGAAUCAAUUGUGAAGUUUCGGAAAAGCCAAGGGUGUGUUUUCAAAGGGUUUUGAAGUGUUCAGUGCGAAGUGGUAGUGCAAAAAGGAGAAAUUUCUGCCGUGUAAUGAAAUUGGAGCCGAUUCUAUUGCUAAUUCGGCUCAAAUAAUGUCAAAAUGAAAAGGAAUUGCUUCCAAAUUAAAUUGGUAGCUUAUGAAGGUCCCUUGGUAUAUUUUGGAAGUGUUUGGGUGAAAUCGGAGCGAAAACGAAAAAUUUAGAAUUUUCUGUAAAGAACGGGACUGAGAAAAUUAGCAGAAAAUGCACAGUGUCAGAAAAUUAUGAAAAUUGGCAGAGAUGUCAGGAACAUUUUAAUGAGGCUAGAUUUGAAGUUUCAGAUUUUUCUGACACCUGUAGAGAGAGAAUUAGCAUCUGGAAGUUAUCUGAUAAAGAUUACAGUUCGGGACAGUUCGCCGUGACCAAACGGGGUCGAAACUGAAAUGUUAAUAUUUCAGUGGACUUAUGAAGUAAAAGCG